rnacentral:rRNA from 1 species
GAUGAACGCUGGCGGCGUGCUUAACACAUGCGAGUCGAACGAAGCACUUUAUUUGAUUUCCUUCGGGACUGAUUAUUUUGUGACUGAGUGGCGGACGGGUGAGUAACGCGUGGGUAACCUGCCUUGUACAGGGGGAUAACAGUUGGAAACGGCUGCUAAUACCGCAUAAGCGCACAGCAUCGCAUGAUGCAGUGUGAAAAACUCCGGUGGUAUAAGAUGGACCCGCGUUGGAUUAGCUAGUUGGUGAGGUAACGGCCCACCAAGGCGACGAUCCAUAGCCGACCUGAGAGUGUGACCGGCCACAUUGGGACUGAGACACGGCCCAAACUCCUACGGGAGGCAGCAGUGGGGAAUAUUGCACAAUGGGCGAAAGCCUGAUGCAGCGACGCCGCGUGAGCGAAGAAGUAUUUCGGUAUGUAAAGCUCUAUCAGCAGGGAAGAUAAUGACGGUACCUGACUAAGAAGCACCGGCUAAAUACGUG